rnacentral:rRNA from 1 species
GUGAAAUUGUUGAAAGGGAAACGCUUGAAGUCAGUCGCGUCGACCGAGACUCAGCCUUGCCUUGGCUUGGUGUACUUCUCGGCUGACGGGUCAGCAUCAAUUUUGCCCCUUGGAUAAUGAUGAGGGAAACGUGACACCUUUAUGGUGUGUUAUAGUCUCUUGUCGCAUGCAAGGGUCGGGAUUGAGGAACUCAGCACGCACCUUUGGGUGUCGGGGCUUUGCCCACGAUACGUGCUUAGGAUGUUGGCGUAAUGGCUUUAAACGACCCGUCUUGAAACACGGACCAAGGAGUCUAACAUGCCUGCGAGUGUUCGGGUGGAAAACCCGUGCGCGUAAUGAAAGUAAAAGUUGGGACCUCUGUCGUGGAGGGCACCGACGCCCGGACCAGACCUUCUGUGACGGCUCUGCGGUAAAGCAUGUAUGUUAGGACCCGAAAGAUGGUGAACUAUGCCUGAAUAGGGUGAAGCCAGAGGAAACUCUGGUGGAGGCUCGUAACGAUUCUGACGUGCAAAUCAAUCGUC